rnacentral:tRNA from 1 species
GGGCGAAUGGUCUAGUGGUAUGACGCUUCCUUAGCAAGCGCGAUCCGGGUGAUUGCCUUCUUUGGAAGAGGUCCGGGGUUCAAUUCCCCGUUUGUCCA